CUUGCACCUGGAUCAAUGGGCUGCCCUAAUGAAGGAUAUCAAAAAUGAAGGGGCAGCUAAAGAAAAAUAAAAGACACCUCAGAAAGUAGCCUGCCUCUUUGACAAGGGACAUGCCUUCAGAGGAACAUAACAGAAACCUCUGAGAAUUGUCAACAAUAAAAAGACUGAGCAACAAGGGAAACUGGUAGGAAGCCAAAGGUUUUAAGAGGUGAGAGUGGAGAAAUGCUGUGCUUUUAUUGAUCCUCUCCAAAGGAACACCUUUAAAAAAGAACUCCUGGAGAGCCACUCUUGAAGACUGGGAGUAACCUCAGAGAAGGGGAGAGAAACAUCUCACUUCUCAAGGUGGAACCACAGAAGCAGAGGUCCACCUCAGCACGACCACCAAGGUUGGAACACAGAGAGUGAGUUCAUGGAAACACCUGAUAUGUUACCCUGGAAAUUGAAGGCAUCUGAGAACAGGAAAAUGGAUGCUUGCCUUUCACCUGAAGAUUAUGAAGGUGGCUGGAGCCGCCCAUGGUGGUAGCAAACAGAGGAGGAGGCAAGGGAGAACACUCUAGUUUCCCCAGAGCUGAAGUAACAAUAUGAAUUUCUACAGGCCAAUGCGAGACUACAGAAAGUAACCAGCCUAGAGCUACCCUAUAUAACCUACAUUACUGUCUGGAAUAGAGAAAUCCAAGAGAAACAGAGAGAAGGUGCCCCUCUAGGAGCAGGGGCUGAGUUGGGUCACAGGAAGUCAUCUCUGGAGACACUGGCUGUGCAGUGCCUUCUUUAUUAGGGGCCUCUUAUAGCCCCUUCUUUAUUAGACAGCCUUUACAACCAGAUUACAUGUAAGAUUUCUUACCUUUUUUCUAUAUUCUCCCUUAUUUCACCAUCUACCCUGGAGGAAACAGAUAAAGUAGGAAAGGAGUAAAAAAAAAAAAAAUAAAAAAGAGAUGAUCUAGUAAAAGUACACGUUCUGCUUCACCUGUCUUUACUUCAUGAACCCUAACCUUGCCAUCCUGCUCCAUAAGCAUGCUGGAAACAUUCAUACCCAGAGGAUUUCUUGUCAUCAGGGCCAUUGCUACUCAUCUCUCAUUAUAACCUAUAAGGUUAUUAUAAGGACUCAGGGUAGUUUGCAUAAUAUUUAUAGACAACACCAUAGCCAAUUAUGGAAAUAAGGGUUUUUUUCUAAACAGGACGUAGAGAAAUAAGGUCAUUCCUGUCUUCCAGCUGAAUGCUGCUGUCUUUAUUUGAUCUUGACAGAAAUUCAUCCACAGCUGCUUGCAUAAGGUAUAACAAGGAUCUCUUUAAACCUGUGGGGAGACUAAAAAUGGGGCUUUAGAGUUCCAAUUACUUAGUGCCUGAUGCAUGAAGAAUCAUAUAAAUAAAUGAUAGAGAAAUAAAUAAGUAGAGCAUAAAUGAUAGAGAAUAUUGACUAUAGUGUAGACUAUAGAUAAUUUGAAUGAUUAUAGACUCAUUGUUUCAACAAGUUCUUGUUGAGUAUUUACUACAUGGUAGGCACUGAGUGUUGAGUAGAUCUGUCACUAUCAAAUUUUAUAUAUAAUAUAAAAUAUCUGCCUCCCCCAUUUCAUUGUGAGAAAUCUAUUAUUAUAUAAUCCUAAAUAGAGAUAAGUACUAUGAAGCAAAAUAAUAAGAUGUAACAAUGGAGAACUCUACAUUUGGGCAUUAGGGGGAAGUUCUCUGAGCAAGUGAUAUUUAAGCUGAUGAUUGAAGGAUAAGAAGAUAACAGCAGAUGAAGAAUUGGAGACCACGGUAUGGAAAAGAAUUUGGUGUUUGCCAGAAAUUUAAGGAACGCUAGUACGACUGGAGCUUAGAGUGAAAAGUGGAAAAUAGUGUAAAAUACAGUUAGAUGUAAGGUAGAGCAUGUGCCUUAUAGACAUCCAGGGUCUUGUAGACUUUUCAAAUAAAUUGUUUGGAUUUUACUCCCAGUAUGAGAAAACUGAAGGUUUUAAACUUUACUGGUCCACAUUUUAAAAGAUCACCGUGGCUGCAGGCUGUGUAGGAGAAUGAAUUGACAAGGAGUCAAAAUAAGGACCAGUAAGGAGACUAUGCAGAAGAUAAAGAAAAAAAUGAUGUCUUGAAUUUGAUGGUGCAGCAAAGGGGAGGAAAAUUAAGCCCUUUUUCCUUCUGAUUCCACAUACUUGAAAGGGACAAGCAUAUCUACUGUCAGUUUAACUACCACUUCUAUGCUUAUGACUCCUGAAUCUCUGUAGCUACAGUUACGUUCCUAAAACCCACACUCUCUAAACUCCCUUCUUCCUCAUAUCCAGUUGCUUAACGGACGCUUCCUCUUAGAUAGCACAAAUUGAAAUGGAACUCUUUGUCUUCCCCUCAAAACUUGGUGCCUUUGUGACUUCUCAUCACUCUCCCCAUCACUUGAAAUCAAAAUUUUGGCAUCACAUUUGGUGCCUCCCUUUCUGUCCAACUCCCAUGUCCACGAUGGCGAAGUACUAAAAGUAUAUGCUCUAGAGUCAGAAUGCUUAGGCCAAUGAAUUGGAACGGUAUUACGGGACAUUUAUCUGGUAUGUGGUUGCCAUUGCUAUGGUCUCAAUGGCACAUUGUAUUUUAGUAAUUAUUUUUAAUUUCAACCACUGCAUGCCCUGGAGAGGCAGUAAAUCUACCUAAUUGCACCAAUAGUUUCUGUCCAAAUCAAGUCAACAUAGCAGCACUGAGUUGAAGAAUGGAUAUGGUCUGAUCCUCCUCAGUUGUUUUAAGAAGAGAAAUAUUACUUCCUUACUUAACUAUAAUUUUCUCAAUGAAUAGUAUGCAGACAGCCACAGUCCUUAUACUGCAAAGUACAAUCAUGAUAAACAGUGAGCUAUGGUGGCUCUGGAGGAAGACAGGCCUAGUUUUUCAAGAAAAUCUAAAAAUUAACCCAGUUAGAGGGAGAGCUGACAUUUUAGAAAGUACUGACAGAGACUUUGCAGUUAUGAGAGAAUGAGAAAGAGUACGAUCUGCAAGAAAGAGCAGUUUGAAUGAGAGGAGCAAAUGGCGAAAAGUGAUACCUACACACGGUGGGGAGGAGGAAGAAAUAGAACUCAAAGGAUUCAGAGAAGCAGAGCUCAGAGAUGCUAAUGAUCUUCCCUUUGCCCCUCCAAAUCCACUCUCCACCUGCUCUCUGGUGGGGAAAGGUAUGCGUAUAUGCACCUCUAUAGACAUUUACAAGCUCUCUUGUCCUAUUGCUUCCAGUUGGGUAUAGUAAAAAGGAAUACGCCACCAAAAGUUAAGAGAAAGGAGAAAGGAAAAUUGGGGUAUUUAUUCCUUUGGCUCCCCACUGCAGGGUUUUUAUGGCCUAGACUGUGACCCUCAACUAAAAGCCACAGCUCCUGUUACCAACAGGCCAUUGUUAUCACACCCAGAUUACUGCAUUAUCCCUUGAAUUUUCCCUACAUUCAGCCCCUACACC
rnacentral:lncRNA from 1 species